GCUCCCAUGGCGUAGUGGUCACUGCGCUCGCCUCGCACGCAGGAUUGGACCCGGGUUCGAUUCCCGGCGGGGUCA
rnacentral:tRNA from 1 species